UGAUUAUCAAGAUGAAGAAUUUAAUUAACUAAAAAAAAUCUACUAAUCAAGCCCUCUUUAAAAGGGGUCAUGGAAUGUCCUCAAAUUAAAAAGAGAGGAGCCCAGCUAAGUCUGUUGUCACUUAAGAUUCUUUCUCACAUGUUUUCAAACAGCAAGACAGACCUUGGCACACACAAGUCAUUCUAACCAGAAAUUCUGGAAAGAAAACACCUCAUGAACUCUGGAGGUAGUAAUGGUCCCCAUCAGGUUAAGCUCUGCAAAUACUGUGCCUGUUCCUUAGAGAUGACUGGAUCCCUCUGCCUCUAACUUCCAUUUCAGGCAUUUUACAAACUACUCAUUCAUUAAUUUAGCUAACUAAUAUUUUUUGAGUGUUUAUUAUAUGCCAAGCCCUCUGAGAAAGGCUUGUUUAUUGCUACUUUGUGUAAAGUUUGGAAGAAUGUGAACUAUGUAUGAACCCAAAACUUUGCGGUAAAUAUAUAGAAGCUGUUGAAUUAAUGUUACCAUUAAGAUAAAAAUCAUAAGGGUGAUUGUUGUUUUAUUUCCUUUUUUAUCUGUUUUUUCCAUCUUAAAUUAUAAGCUUCUGGGAGGCAAGUAUUGAAUCCAGGUUGUUCUCAUUUUUUCUACUAGACAUCACCCCUCAUAGAAGGUCCUCAAUAUUUUCUACAGAUGUUGACUCAGAUGCAAACAGAUAAGUAUACAAAAUAUAAUAAUCACUUAUUAGAGCAAAAUGUUGGUUGAAAGAGUGUAAUUAAGUAGAAAAUUCCCAUUGUUUAUAGUCUGUUAUCCCAUCCAUCCUUUCAUCCAUCCAUGUAUCCAUCCAUCCAUCCAUCCAUCCAUUCAUUCAUUUCUUCAUUACUUUUUAUUGAAAUCCUACCAUGUGUCAAGAAUAGUGUCAGAUGCUAAGGAUGAAAGAGUAAAUAAACAGUCAUGGGCUCUGCAAUCUCAAGGAGAUGGGAUUCUUCUGAAGGAAGAAGCAAACAGAUAAACAAAUAAUUACAUGUUGUGUUAAGUGCAAAGAAAGAAACCACAAAGGCAUACUGUAGAGAAUAAUGAAGAGAGGUGACUUUAGAUUAUACUUCUCUCUGAGGAGGUGGCAUUUAAUAAGAACUGAUAGAAUUAGAGAAUUUUAGUUCUUUUUGCAGGUGCAAAGUUUCUUGGCAGAGAAAGAACUUGGUGACACCUAAUGUACUAGGUUGAAGAGUGCCCCUCCCCUCAGAAUUCACGUCUACCCUGAACUUCAGAAUGUGACUUUAUUUGGACAUAGGGUCUUUGCAGUUAAUCAAGUUAAAUUGAGGCCAUACUAGAUUAGGGUGAGCUCUCAUCCAGUGACUAGUGUCCUUCUAGGAAGAGAAAAAUUUGGACACAGACCCAGGGAAGAAGGCUAUCCAAUAACAGAGGCAGAGAAUAAAGUUAUGUUGCCACAAGCAAAGGAGCACCAGGAGCCACUAGCAUCUGGAAGAGGCAAGGAAGGACUCUCUUCUAGGCCCUUCAGAAGGAGCAUGGCCCUGCCAGCACCUUCAUUUUGCAUCUCCAGCCUCCAAACAGGUGAAAAAAAUAAAUUUCCAUUGUUUUAAGUAAUUCAGCUUGUGGUUAUUUGUCACAGCACCCCUAGGAACUAAUACACCUGGGAAAUGUCAGAAGGCAUCUGCUGGAAUCAUUGGGAAAGAGAACCUUUUUUGCUGAAGCUGCUAAUCUGGAUGACAGAGGACACCUUUCCAAAGAAUCAAGUCGUCGUAGACAAAGUAGAAGCAAGAGCUAGAGAAAGCCCUUACCGGAUAUCUGGAUUCAGCCGAAAGCAUUUUUUGUGUUAGUCAGUUUGAGUGGAGUUUCUGUCACUUACAUCUUAAAAAAAAAAACCUAAAUAAUACAGAAAUCAGUACUUGGAAGUAGAAUAUUACACAUGAUGGAUCCUAAAAUAUGGGCUUGUCCACAUCAAGAUGGAGUUUGGGCAGUGAGGAUAUCCCCGUGUCAGAGUGAGAAAUUAGCACUUCCUAUGUAUGGCAGGAAAGAAACUGAUUGAGCUGAUGCCCAUCAUCUCUGGAGACACAAACCCUGUGCUUCGCUGAGCCUCGAGCUUGAGCAACUUCAUAAAAGGUAUCAGGUUAUGACUACAAUUUCGUGAAGCUUUCAGUAAAAUCCAAUGAGAAAGACAAAACUUAAGUUGAAGAACACAGAAAUGAAAGAAAAUAUGUUUUGCUAAGAGUAAUCGUGCCUUUGGCCAGAAAUUUUACAAGUCCUUGAAGACCCAGACAGUUGUGCAUUUAUUGGAUCAAAAAAGCCAAAUUGCCCGCCCUACACUGAAGGACAUGGGAGCAAAGAGAAGGAGGUGGGAAACAAAGUGAGGGGACUAGAAGGAGAUGUUUCAUGAUUCCUCAGACCCUUCCUUAGGACCUCUGCUCUUCACUCCCUGCCUAUUCGUGGUGAUAAUUAACCCCAUCAUAAAGGGCUGUCACUGGGAUGCAGCCUGUAAGCAGGAACAGAUUGUGCCUUCCUCCCCAGCAGGCUUUCCACUGACCCAAGACAUUGACUAACAUAGAAGCCAUUCAUCUAUGGGCUUGGGAUUUGGCCAGAGAGCACUGAGUCUAGUUUUUAAGAUAUGGAUAAUCCCAAGCCGUGGUUUUAGUUUAAGGAGAAAACGUGACAAAGAUCUGACUUUGGUUAACAUGAAUCAACAGAUUUCCAAAUCUGCACCAAAAGAGACAUAGUCCUCAGAGGAGCAUCCAGUGCACAUCUCCAGUGUGGACAUGGAGAACAAGGAACAGCGGACGAGAAGAAAAACCAAAUGAGUCCAGGUUGAUAAAUUUUUCCUCUCUUACUUUAGCAGAAUAUGCUAUAUUCUGUGGAGUUGUAAACUUAAAAUGUGGGUUUAUAUUUGAAUUUGCCUGUUUUCCCUCUACCAGGCAGUUGGAUGGUUGGGCCAUGCUUGCAUUGAGCACUUUAUCCACAGGUCUCCAGACGAGGAGGAGCUGCAUUCCCUCUGGUCAAGUUCAUGUCAUUUGGGGUGGGACCUGCCUCACCCCAGGACCCAAACAUCAGGAUGAAAACCAGACUUAGCAAAAGGAACAGUGUGACUAGUUCAGAGACGGCGCAUAAUCCAAGGGGAAUCAUUGGAACCUGAUACGCUUGAGCUCCAAGGAGUGCUUCUGAUCUGGUAUGUCUUACCUCUGGCUGGCUACUCGUUACCACCUACUCGUUCUCAAAAGCUGUGCUCAGGCAUCAUCUCCAAAAGCCUUCCUUCAGCCUCCCAGUCUUCACUCACCCAUCCUCUGUGACAUUUGGCAAUGUCUGGAGACAUUUCUGGUGGUCAAAACUUGGAGGGGGGUUGCUGUUGGCAUCUAGUGGGCAGAGGCCAGGGAUGCUGCUAAACAUCUUACUGUACACACAAGGGACAGCUCCCCACAACUAAAAAUUAUCCAUCUUAAAAUGUCAAUAAUGCUAAGGCAGAGAAGCCCUGUGCUAAAGCAUUCUUUGUGUGGAUCUCUCCUUAUACUUACUGCAUUGUAUUGUAGGGUUCUUUUGUAUCUACGCUACAUAACUUUUAAAGGAAGAAGCUUUUAUCCAUUUUACUCAAAUUUUCUGGCACCAUAGAUCACAACAUUGCACUUACAAACCAAGGAUCAUGAAUUAAUUUGUUGCUGGAGCCUUUUGUUUAUUUCUAGUGUCUGGCCUCGAAACUAAAAAAUGAUAGAUAUUAAGUGAAUGACUGAAUACAUGUUACUUAAUUCUUGACCACUUCAAAUUCAUCUUUCAUCCUCUGGCACGUCCACAUGAUCUUGGAGAAAUUUGCCAGCUUCUUUGUUAUCUUAGUAUUUCAAAUUAGAAUGUGCUGUGGUGUACGAAUGUGGAGUUUUUAUUCCUUAAAACUAUGUAUAAAAUUUUAAAAGUAAGCUUUUUCCAAGCAUUAAUCCUUGGGGUACUAUACCACUCACAUUUCUCCAUUAUAUAAAGUAUUCCUUUCUUUCCUUCAGUGGCUUUCUAUCUUUGUUAUUGUUCCCUAGACAUGGCAAAAUAGGCCACAAAACUUGUGGUAAUUAUCUUGCCCAAUAGCUUUCACUGGGGAAGGAUUUUUGAAAACCUAGAUUCGUCUUCAGUUAUGGCCACUGGUUCUUCCUUAUCUGCAUGUUUAUUUAUCUGCUCCAGGAACUUACACAG
rnacentral:lncRNA from 1 species